CAAGCCAGCAAGCAGGACUCCUCCAUGGCCUCUGCUGCAGGUGCUGCCUGGAGUCCCAGCCCCGGCUCCACCACCCCACCCCACCCCCGUUACAGACGCUAACCUGUAAGCCACGCAAACACUUCCCACGUGGUUUGUGGCCAGUGUUUCAUCAUAGCAACAAAAGCAAACCAGGAUCAGAAAUUUAAACAGGAUGGUUUUUGAAAUCAAACAAGUUCCUUCUUUGCAUUCAUUAAGUGCGGAUUAAUACUGCUUGAGUUCUAGAUUAAGUGUGUUUCUCACUGUGUAAAAAUGACACAUGCAAUGAAAACCAUGUUGCUGCAAUGCACACGAUUCAGCCCCACUUCCUGCCCUCGGACAGCGAAUGACAGAUGCAAACACUAAACAGGAAUCGGCUCUGCUUCCAGAAAUCAUCUGCUGUGUGAUCUUAGACAAGUGACCUGUGCUCUCCACUCAGAUCCUUGACUUAUCUGCAUUCCUCAGGAAAAGGAGCAAGGGGAGCUGUUCCAGAUCUUUCCGGCUUGAUCUUGCAGCCAGCCACUGCCAUUAGCUCUUUGGACGGGGAUGGAGGAGCCUUGGAAGUCCCUCUCACUUGGUGCUAGCAGAUUUAAGCGGCUUGAUCCUGCAUGGAUCGCGUGCAGAAUCUGACAGAAGUGCCUCUGUGUGGCUUCCAAGACUGGCAUCAUGGAAGACCCCACGGCCUUCUUUACGUCUGCCAUGGAUCGCUUGUUCUGAAGGAAGCGAGCUGCCAACCCAUCCGCUUGUGAGGAUCCUCAGGCUCCUCUCUGGGGAGGAACAAGAGCUCCUGUCAACAACAGCAGGGACCGAGGUCUUUGUCGAAAGCCAAGUGGGUGAGCCCGAGUCCCCCCAUCCCAUGCAGACACGGUCAAGCCUGCAGCCCUGGAUGAUACCUGUCUAGGCUUUUACGAGCUUUCCUGAGCCUUAAACUACCCAUCCAAACUGUUUCUGAGGCACUGAAAUGUGAACUAGUACAUGCUUGAUUUUUUUUUUUACCUGCCAAGUCUUGGGGUAACUUGUUAUAUGGCAACAUAUAAGUAAUAAAUUAUAAUGUUAUAUUUAUAGUAUCAAGCGGUGAGACCCUUAAAAAGAUCCAACAGGACAGUUUUGCUAGAAAGAGAAGAUGUAACCCACGUUAAAGCUGCUUUCUUGCACAUUACAGUGAGUAAAUAAAUUAACAUUGUAAAGCUCACUGUUGGUAGGGCUUCUGGGAGAGAAGAUCAUGACUGGUACUUUACUUAACAUGAUUCAGUGCCCCUGAAGCUGACAGAUGAAAUGAAUGCUAUACUGCUCUCCCUGGGGCAAGAGCCAGAAGUAAAAGCCUCACGCUGGUUUUCACAACGACAUUCCUAUCAGGAAGCACUGUUUGUACUAACGAGGAAAGACUCAGAAACCCAGGAGUAACCAACUGAGCCAUCUCACUGAACCCAGACAGUUCUUUAAGAGCUGGGAGUGGGGGCUCACACUUACCACCCCAGUACCUGGAGGCAGAGACAGGAGAAUUACCAAAAGCUCAAGGCAAUUUUACUUGCACAUUAAGACCUGGUCUCAGAAACAGAACAGAACAAAACAAAAACAGAGCCAUUUGGUCAUAUGUACAGAUAGGUAGAUAGGUAGGUAGAUAGAUAGAUAGAUAGAUGAUUGAUAGAUAGAUAGACAGACAGAGAGACAGACGAUUGAUAGACAGAUCCCUUUUCCCACACUUAUGUUACAUGAUAACAUGGCUGUAAAAUAUUCUCCUUACCUACUAGGAACAAAAAGAUGAAACCCCACCCAGCAAUGCUGGCAGACCUGGCCCAGUUUUAAACUGUCGUCAAGCAAAGUCCUCCCCUCCUCCCUCUCUCCACGGCCCCAUAAGCAAACAGAAAGACUCAGAUAAGUGUUCAGAGAGUUCCCGUGCUUCCUGCUGGCUGCAGCAGGCAGCCAGUUUCCUGGAGGAGGAGCCUCCUACCUGGGAAAUCCCAGACCCAGAACCCUGGCAAAGAAACUAAAAACCCAAAGAAAACUGUUGUUCACAUGACAGGAAUGCAAAGAAUGAUGGGUGGUGGGGCACAUGGCAGAAAGAAGCCUGGCAUGUGUGAGGCCUGGGUUUGGUGCCCAGAACCACACACCCACCCACACACCCACCCAC